GUAUCUGAACUUUUGCUGCUGCAUUAUUGCUUUACAGAUUAACAUGAAGUCUAACUUUACCUUUACAUUUUCCCGCGUAAUCUAGGGAGUCUAAGACAAUAAUCUUUCUCGUGUAACGAUUGCUGUACAGAUUAACAUGAAGUCUAACUUCACCUUUACAUUUUCUCGCAUAAUCUAGGGAGUCUAUGACAAUAAUCUUUCUCGUGUUUAAGUUGUGGGUUUAGUUAAUAUAUUUGCUGGCCUGAUAGGCGUGUUGAUGUUCACAAAGUUAAAAGGUCCUUUUCCUGUUCCUGUUGAAAACCUGAUAAGCAUUCGUUGUUCCACAAGGCUUAGAUAUGAUAAGGGCCUGUAAGUUUGAGUUUCUUUUUCUAACAGUACUUACUUGUUUUUCUUCCCUUGCUUCAGUUUGACGAAGUAUUUGAUUUUGUAAAUGGCUCCACCAAUUGAAGGAGAGUUUCUGCCUGUAAUGUAUUUGCCCAGAGAGAUGAUAAAGCAAAUAAAUUGUCC
rnacentral:lncRNA from 1 species